rnacentral:rRNA from 1 species
ACUCCUACGGGAGGCAGCAGUGGGGAAUCUUGGACAAUGGGCGCAAGCCUGAUCCAGCCAUGCCGCGUGAGUGAUGAAGGCCCGUAGGGUCGUAAAGCUCUUUCGCCAGAGAUGAUAAUGACAGUAUCUGGUAAACGAAACCCCGGCUAACUCCGUGCCAGCAGCCGCGGUAAUACGGAGGGGUUAGCGUUGUUCGGAAUUACUGGGCGUAAAGCGCGCGUAGGCGGACUGGAAAGUUGGGGUGAAAUCCCGGGGCUCAACCCCGGAACUGCCUCCAAAACUAUCAGUCUAGAGUUCGAGAGAGGUGAGUGGAAUUCCGAGUGUAGAGGUGAAAUUCGUAGAUAUUCGGAGGAACACCAGUGGCGAAGGCGGCUCACUGGCUCGAUACUGACGCUGAGGUGCGAAAGUGUGGGAGCAAACAGGAUUAGAUACCCUGGUAGCGACUGA